GCCAUGUUAUGCUCUAGACUAUGUUUUGCCGCAAAACCUUGAGUCCCGGCAGUCACGUGCAUGUUACUGUGACAUGUACCACCUACCUAGAGCUUCUUGUAGACUAUGUAAACACCUGCAUGGCAGUGGUUCACUGAUCGCAGUGGGGUGUUACCUUGGCCUCGCAUCCCCAGAUCUAGAUCUGAUUGAGCAUCUGUGGGAUGUGCUGGAACAUGGAGUUCCCACCUCGCAACUUGCAU